rnacentral:rRNA from 1 species
GAUUCAUCGGUGACGAAUAGGCUCGCGGGGCAUUAGCUUAGACGGCGGGGCAACGGCCCACCGUGGCGACGAUNCCGUAGGGGUUCUGAGAGGAAGACCCCCACACUGGGACUGAGACACGGCCCAGACUCCUACGGGAGGCAGCAGUGAGGAAUAUUGGUCAAUGGGCGGAAGCCUGAACCAGCCAUGCCGCGUGAAGGACUAAGGCCCUAUGGGUCGUAAACUUCUUUAGACGCAGAGCAAUAAGGGUCUCGUGAGAUCCGAUGAGAGUAUGCGUAGAAUAAGCAUCGGCUAACUCCGUG